rnacentral:misc_RNA from 1 species
UUUGUCCCUGCGCAUAGUGUUCGUAAGUAUCAGCUCAUUCAGUAUAUCAGUUGCGAAUAUUAGAGUUAAAUUUCCAAUUUGAGAACAUUUCUAGUCAAUCUAGAUGUUGUAAAAUUGAUGGUGAAGCGGCUGGGUAUUUUACAUACAUGACUGGAACAUAUACAUGGUACACACAUACAUGCAUGCAAGCAUAAGUGGUGGGCAUUCUGAUAACCAAACCGAAGCAAACCAAAUUUAUAUAACCAAAAUAACUGAAUUUCAUAUAUUCAUUUUAUUAUUAUUAUUUAUAAUCAAAUAUUGCUCGCCCCUAGACAUGCACCUACCAAAUUGUGAUUGUUUGAAAUCCUCUGUAGGGGGUAAUGAUUGCUUGAUGUUCUUAUCAAUUACUCUGAUUUUCCUUUACUUUUGCAAAAGAAAUUAAUGCAUAACCAUUUUCAUAAUCAUAAUUUAUCUGCAACUUCUUUCAUUAUCUACGAUUUAUUUUGCAGGAAUAUUCUGUCUGGACAACACGCU